rnacentral:lncRNA from 10 species
UGUGUGUGUGUGUGUGUGUGUGUGUGUGUAGUGUGUGUAUCAUGUGUUGAGAGUAAGAUCUACUCUCUUAGUAAAUUUCAAGUGUACAAUGCUUUAUGAUUAACUGUGGUCACCAUGCUAUACGUUAGAUCAGCUGAUAACUGCAAGUUUGUACCCUUUGACCCACAUCUUUGCAUUUCCCUACCCCAGACCCCUGGUAACCUCCCUCCUACUCUGUUUCUGUGAGUAGGAGUGAAGCACAUAUGGAUGUGGAAAACAUGCUCAGUGAAAGAAGCCAGUCAUAGAGAUCACAUAGGCUAUGAAUCCUCUCACACUCAAUGUUCAGAAAGAUUCAAAUCUAGAGGGACAGAAAGAUUAGUGGUGGCCUGGUCUGGGGGUGACAACUGAGAGGGAAUGCACGAGGGACCCUCUGGGGGUAAGGGAAAUUGGAUUGUAGUGGAGGUUGCACAACUCUAAAUUUACCAAAACUCAUUGAAUCCAGUACUUUUUUUUUUUUUUUUUUUUUUUUUUUUUUGAGUCAGGGUCUUGCUCUGUCACUCAGGCUGGAGUGCAGUGGUGUGAUUUCGGCUCACUGCAGCCUCAACCUUCCAGGCUCAAACAAUUUUCCCACCUCAGCCUCCCCAGUAGCUGGGACUGCCAGCGUGUGCCACCACACCCAGCUAAUUUUUUUGUUGUUUGUUCAUGGAGACGGGGUUGUGUUGAGUUGCCCAGGCUGAUAUUGAACUCCUAGGCUCAAGGGAUCCACCCUCCCUCAGUUUCCCAAAGUG